UCGCACGGUCAGCAAUGGCAGUGCCGGACGGUGAGUAACACGUAGGAAAUCUAUCCCCAGGGUGGGGGACAACAGCGGGAAAACUGCUGCUAAUACCGCAUGAUACCUGAGGGUCAAAGGCGCAAGUCGCCUUGGGAGGAGCCUGCGUCUGAUUAGCUUGUUGGUGAGGUAAAGGCUCACCAAGGCUACGAUCAGUAGCUGGUCUGAGAGGAUGAUCAGCCACAUUGGGACUGAGACACGGCCCAAACUCCUACGGGAGGCAGCAGUGGGGAAUAUUGGACAAUGGGCGCAAGCCUGAUCCAGCCAUGCCGCGUGGGUGAUGAAGGCCUUAGGGUUGUAAAGCCCUUUCGGCGGGGAAGAUAAUGACGGUACCCGCAGAAGAAGCCCCGGCUAACUUCGUG
rnacentral:rRNA from 1 species